GCAGUAUCAACUGCUUACAGGGUUAGAAGUUUGCUUUCCAAUCAGACAUGAACGUUAGGCUUCAGUAAAUCUACUGUACCGAAUCUGUGAAGCACCACUUUUCAAAUAUAAGGCACUAUUGAAAUAUUUCUACUGAAAGAAAAUUCUGUAACUUCAAAAAUGGCAGUCUUCCAGAAAUGGAAAUACACUGAUCAACAGGAAACCUAAGGUCCAAAAUUGCAAAGGGUUGUGGCUACAGAUUUAGAUAGGAAUGAAGCAUACUGUCUGGAGAUCCAUGGAAUUCCUACCAAGAAGGAUGAAACUUUAUGCCAAGCUGCUUCAAGGAGAAGAUUGUGAGAAUGAGACAGUCCUUAUAAAAAUGAACAUGAUCUGACAGCAGAGGUGAGAUGAUACCAAAAGAAGCAGGGAUUGAAUCCUGUAGGGGUUUGCACCCCUUGAAGAUUCAGAGGAGAGAUCAAAUCAGAUACAGAGGUGCUUUGCUGCCUGUGUGCCAAGGAUAAGGAAGCUAAACAAUAAUAUCCCAGCAGUUUCCAGGACUAUGCCCGUGAGCAUCACCUCGCAGCCCUGGUCCCUCGACGCACAUGGACCUCACUGGCCUGGAUUGUGCCAUUUGCUGAAGGCAAGAGCCUCACAGAGCUGCCAAGGGGACUCUGCAGGGUGGCUUUGCUGGGUACGUGUGCCCCAGGGCAGCGCUUCAGCGUGCUGAGCCUCUCAUCUGAGGGCUGAAAGGCAGCAGAGAGCAUAAUCUGUUUUAAUGGAUCCUUCUGCUGCUGUUGAAUAGCUCCCUGGUUUGGAUUACUUCUGCUGCAGGCACGAUUAGUCAGCAUCUGACAGGGCAGGGGGUCUCAGCGGGGAGUCCACAGCUAGCUAAGAAUAGGAGCCAAACAUUAUUUUCCGGCUUGUUUGGGAGAAAAACCUGAAGAGUGCAGAAAGUUUGUCCCUCGUUGUUUUCCCGGGUAGGGGAGCAGUCUCAGAGGUGAUGAGACAAACACUUGAGGAUGGCUGAUAGCACUGGAGUGCAGAGUAAACAAGAAGAUGGUACUGGAUCCCAGGGCAUGGAAAAGCAUUGGGAAAAAAGCUUACUGAAAUCAUGUGAAGUCAUGAAACAACUGAAGGGAUGCAAAAAUGGUUCUCACCUCUUUCCACCUGAAAGAACUGGGCAUGUUGAGAAAAUGCUCGCUCAGUGCUUGCCUUUGAAUAAUGAAAUAAAACAUAAUGGUCAGUAAAGUUAAGCUCUUAAGAGUAAAUCAGUUCUGUUCUCACCGGAAGGCAGCCUGGAUUGUCCUGAAACACUGAAGCCAUCUGCAGUUCCCACAUCGAUUUUCUUCUCCAUGGCACUGAGCAUACAAAGCCAGCAGGCGCCUUUGAGUGCUCUCUCAGCCGCACGGAGAAAACAGAUAAAGCCCUCUGGGCCUCCUGCAUGUUCAUGUGCAGCUUCACCUGCGUGACACCUGGCUGUGCCCAGCGCAGGAAUCAGCACAGCAAGCUGGGAAGUCUGCUGAAUUGGCAUAUUUGUGUGGAGGGGGAAAUGCUGCCAGGGAACUGUGACCUGCCUCUUCUCUGCAAUGCACCGGCAUGCAGCAUCCCAACAGGAGCAGCAUUGUUUUGUGCCAAGUGCCUCAGAGACAGAGGAGACUGUGCCCAAUUCGGUGGAAAUAAAAAGCAACCUCCUAUUUUUGUUAUUUGCUGCCAUAGUGAAAACUGUGCUUCCCCUGAUCCAUCAGAAAAUACUGUUUUCACUUUUCAGGCAAUCAUAGUUUGGGCCUUUUCAAAUGAAAAUACCUGGUUAAGUGCCCCAGAACAGAGGCAGCUUUCUGCACUGUGCCUGAUGUGCCACUGCCCAGAUGAUGGUUGCACAAGGAGCAGCUCCCAUGCCUCCAGCUGCUGGAAAACUCCAUUCUCCAUCAAGCCAAGUGGCUAAGCAGCACAUGUCAGUUCCUACGAAGUGAGAACAGCAUCAAAUAAGGUGAGGUCCCCCUAUUGAUAACCAGCAAGUGAGUGUAUAUUUAGAAACUUACCAAGAAAAGAAAAAUCCAAAUAAAAACCUGCGAGCUUAAGAAGAGACAAAAAGAGCCUUUGAUGUUUCCGGGCUCAUGUGAACUCUCAAGUCAGGGUGUAAGCCCUCAUCAUAGAACUCAGAGUCAUGGCAGUGCUCUCUCCUUGCAUUCAGCAUAGCUGCAACUGGUUGCAGUGUACAUAGCAGGAAGCAAGGCUGCACGACCUGCCUGCCCUGCACUGUAUCUGCAUGCCCUGCAAAGCCAGUCCUUCUGCACAGGGUACGGAACCCAUCCCCUGGCCCCACGAAGCAGAAGACUGGGUGUCCUCAUCACUCCUGAUAAUGCUCAGCAUGGGAACGGCACUACUGCUGCUCUGCUGCAGCCCUGUGUCCUGCAGAAAGCUACAAAUGUCAGAGGAAGAUGAUGGAGUAUGAAUUCAAAGAGCACGGAGCUCCUGCGGCUGGAAUGUGAACCCAGAAAAGCCAUUCAGUGAUGGGGAUGGAAAGCUGCCGCUUCCCACUGGGCAUGGCAGGAUCACACGGACCGUCUGACAGCCCACGACAGCCUCGGGGUCCUGUAGCCCAUCGCUGGUCCUGGACAGCCAGCAGUGCCGGCUGGCACAGAAGGAGGCCCUUCUCCCAGAUCCUUCAUUCUCCUGAGGGGAUGACGAUUGCAAGACACAGAGCAGGAUGUGCCAUACAGUGAGCCUCUGUGGUGAGUGUCACACUAACAUUUUCCCUAGAAAUCUCCCUGUUUUUUUUUUUCUUUUUCUGGAAAAAAAUUGUUCCUUAUGUUUUUCCUUGGCCUUUCUGGCUUUUGAAAAGUCAUGGCAAAGCAGUUUAUGCCCUGGAGACCCAGAAGUGCUCCCAUAUUCCUGUUGCGGCUGUACUGCUGUCCAGGUGACUCUGACAAGGCACCUUUCUGUUGGCUGCACUGCCUGGCUGCCUCUGCUUCCCUCUCAGCCAUAGCACACCUUUAUUCCUGCUCAUUCGGUGACACUGCUGAAUUUGAUGUGGUUUGCUCAGGUAGAGAUUUACCUUCAGCUUCCACCACCUUCUCUCAUAGUGGCUUCCAAGUGGAGUCAGGGUUUUCUUGCUCACAGCUUUCCUUUCUCUUCUUCAAAUAUAUGUCUACUUCUAACAGUUCUGUUUGGAUUCCCUCCCUUUACACACUUCUACCCCUUUGACAAGGCUCAUUUUUCAGGACAGAGGUUAUAUUUCUCAUCAAAAUGCUGGCAAAGAUAAGGGCCACAUAGGCCCGUGGACCAGCUGAUGGAAAUUCAUCUAAAUCCCACACUGACGGUUCCCCACCAAUAGCCAAGGCUAUGCAGGCAUGGCUGCGAGCCCAUGAUUCAGCAACUUUCACUGAUUAAUCAAGUCACUUCAUUUUUUAUGCAUGCAAGUUUGCCCAAGGCAGCUGUGUUCAGUCGCUUUCUCGUCAGAAUGUUAGCAGUGCUGCGGAUGUCACAGGGUUUGUGAUAUUGAUAUAAAUACAUAUAGAUAUGCGUAGGUUUCUGAUUAGGUUGAGAUUUUGAAUACUCUUUAGUGGCGUUUGUUCAGUUGAUAGAAUCCCUUCUGCACAUUUACAUGCACGUUGUACCUCUGAUGCUGCAGUUCUUAAUUACCGAUACGCUUUAUCUGAGCAAAACAUGUAACAGGCCCCUUAGCAUAAAUUAUACUUGUGUGUGUGCUGAGAGCCCUUCCCAGGUGUGAGGGAAUAAACACAUUACAGAGCACACACACCUCAGAAUGAGUUUAGGGAAUCUUCUCACUUCCUGAAAAAUUCUGCUGCGUCCCUUAGGAACACCAAUGUGGAGCACAUGGCGGCUGGGGCAGAGGGGAAGCUGUGCCCUGUGUUUCCUGCAUGACCUCAUGGGUUGCUGGGGAUGUGGUGCAGAUUUCUAGAUGCUGACGGGUUUGGUAGCAUUGUAUUUGUGUGCCUUGAGGCAGCCCUUGUACUGAGCAGCGAGGCACGUUUUGCUGGCAGCCUCGGCCCACAGAAGUCAUAGCUUUCCUUGGCUAUGAAUAGUGAUUCAGCUUGGUGCCAUAUUCCAACCUCUGCCCCUUGCCUCAGGACAGGACAGGCAGGAGCUCAGGACAUGAGACUCGAUAUUGUGUGACUCUGCCAGGUGUAAAAUUAAGAGCACACCUGAAAUUAGUGUGUUAAAAAAUGAGGAGGGAAUAUUAGCAUAUGAACACCAGGCUUCAGUGGAGUCAAAGGGAUACAACAGAUAUUUGUGUGUUGGAUUUUUUUUAUGGCAGCAGUAUUUGUUGAUGUUUAUUUUUCUUCUCUUCAGUAGAACUGUGUUUGUUAAUAAUUCUAAUAAUAAAGCAUCCACAACUAUUGUGAGAUUUGCCAAAUUUUCAAAAUAGCGGCAAAAUGGAAGAGAAAAAAAGGAUUUCUGUCUUUUUUCUUCUUUCUUUUUCUUUUUUAACUCUCCCUAACCCCACAGCACCAGGUGCGACGUGGCAGCACCUCCACAGUGACUGCAGCCACCGGGAGUUCAAACACACCCAUUGGCUUCGCAUUGUCAGUUGCAACAAUUAUUGCAAAUGAACAGACAUCACAAACAAAACAGAAACCCAACCCUGUGAGAACCUACUCACAGAUGGACAAAUUUGUUAUUGUUUUCAUGAUCUUUUGCAAUGUGUUUGCAGGUUUCUACAGCCUUGUUUAAAUUCAAGCAAGGACCUUUUUGCACCAACUUUGCAGGAUUUCAUUUGUGAGUUGCACAUUUAAUUCUCCACAGCAGAUGGUGAUGUGUGGGUGUACUGCUGUAUAUUUGCAACAGAUUCCUUAUCCUACAAAAUUAAUUAAGUGUCUCAUGUGCUGAUUUAAAAUCAGAAUUGCAUUGUUUGUAAAAAAGCUAACUCUUGCAUAUCAUUUUGCUGGGACCGGUGCAACUCAAGCACAGUGUAAGGAAGAGAAGGCUCAGUGCUCCUCUACAGCACACGGCAGCACUGCCAGUCCUGCGUGCAGUCUAAGAGCCUGAGAUCUCCAUGUUAGUGUUACUGAAGUGAAUGUCCUUAUUUGAUAGCCUGGUGGGGUCUGAAAGGGCACCGUGGUCUGUGCAGCUGCUGCUGGGAGGAAUCCUGGCUCCUUGCGGCCCUUGGUGCAACGCUGAUGGCUCCUGGGGUGGAAUCCUGCACCCAGCACACGGUGUGGUUUAGGUCUGAGGGACAGAGAAGGAGGCGUUCUUGUGCUGGUUAUACCUGGGAGCAAGCAGCAGGAGCGGGGGCAAGGCUGGUGGUCCCACUGCUGUGAUGUGAGGAGGGCACUUGGCUGGGGAGCGGCUCAGGUAGCAGACGGGGGAUUUUGAUCUUUUGCUACUUCAAUGGGAAAUAAUUUGUAGCCUCUUAACAUUUAAAAUUGGAGUGAAAUUUAAUACAAAAUAGUUUAAGCUCUUUAAAAUGUGCUGGCUCUGUUUACAAAUGUGAUACAAGCUUGUAGAUGGCAAAAUGUCAAGCUUUGUGUGAAAAGUAGCUGCUUAUGUGUGCGUGUUCACAUCCUCUUCCCGGUUAUUUCUGCUGAAAGGGUAUUUCAGAAAAUUGCUAAUAUGAUCAUAGAUGAACCUGUCUGACAUCAGCUGUGGUUGGUUUAAGUUAUUGGGCCUUUGUGUCUGUCCCUCUGGUUGCCUUCCUUCCUACAGCCCUUCCCGGUGCAUUUACAGGGAACCGGCUUUCUGAAAGGCGGGAUAUGGGAACAGGAGCUCCAGCAGCUCCGUGACACCUCAGUGGGGUCAGUCUCUGCUCCCUGCACGCAGUGUUUCUGCUGAUGGCCUCAGCUGUGCCUGUCACACAGCUCCCGUGGGACUCAUGCGGUGGCAGUGACCCCUCACCACCCCUGGGAUCACAGUGACUGCUCAGCAUUGGGCAGGGGCUGCGGGGGCUGCGCGCCCUGCGAGGUGUGUGUGGAUUUUGCUUUUUGGUUCCUUCCAGCAGCUCUUGUUUUGCCCACUGCAGAACCUACUGAAGCUCGGCUGCAUUGUCUCCAUCACUUCUGGGUUUCAGAAGUCAGUCAGUUAUUUUUAGACUAGAAAUACUGGAUUAGCCUGAGACGGCAAAGCUUUUGUAAUGUUCUGGAUUUGAUCUUUCAUUCUGCUCCCAAUGAACAAUGAACUACUGCUGUGCAGUGAGCCUGGGCUUUGGGCUCCUCAGGGCAGGGAACGAAUCUGCCCUGUCCUCCCUUGCUGACCUGGCUGUACCUCACCUCAUCGCGGCCACUGAAGGGGAUGUGCAAGGUGGCAGAGCGCUGUCCUGCAAAAGGGGACAGUCCCUGGGGCCUUUCUGUCUCUCCUGCCCCCAGAGCUGAGCCAAGUGCUCAGUAACACCUGGGUGAGGCAGGGUGCACCCAGCCCCCAUGCAGUGCCAAUGGAAGCCAUUGAUGGUAACAGGGACCGAGUCUCCAUGUGACAGACCCGCUGCCGUAGUACUGGAAGCCAGGCUUCUACAGCAGAAACUCAGGAGCAGCUCAGGGCCCUCCCACCACCAGCCCCUGCCCACCCUCACCCCCAUCCCAUUCAGCCCAAGCACAGCACUAAGGGAGCACACUCCAACCCCCCAGGUGAUUUUCCAUUUGUGCAGCAGGCUUGCUAAUUGCACAGUGAUUACCCUUUCAUGAAAGGAAUAUAAAACUUGAUUACUUCGAGUGAGUGGUGGGGAGCAGUGGUUCUGAGCAGAGCCUGUGUUUCAGUAGGAAUUUCUUAAUCUGCUCACGCAGAAGGGGUGCAGGCAAAGGCAGCACCUGUACCCCCUUUUCUUUUAUCCAGCACUCAGGUGUGCUGCUCUCAUAAAGCAGGUCAGGAUUUUACAUACCACAGCCAUGACACCAACAGAGGCUUUUUGCUUUUGUUAAAUGGGCAUGUGAGCCUUUGUACAGCUCACGUAAGUGUGUUUAUGAGUGCAGUACAUAACGGGGAAUAUGGGUACAUUACAUCAACAAGAUGCUGAAGAACAGCAGCUGAGCCUAAAGUGAACUUCAGGAAAUUAGGCCCUUUCGUAGUCAACAGCAAAGCCCCCAGAGCACAGACAGGCUGCCUUAACCAGCCCACCCCAUGGUGCCUGCUCACUGCUGGUCUGGCCAUGUGAAAUGAGUUAAAAAAAAAAAUCAGGUGAGGGGAACAGAUGGUGUGGUGUACCUGGUGGCAUUCCAUUACAGGCACUACUGCCUGGGUGUUUUUUUCUAAGUAAGUUCAGAUAAAAAGAACUGGACUGGUGCAUCUUAAAACCCUAAAGUGUAAGUCUGCAUAGAUCUAGAGAUGGGUAGAUUGAUGGAAGGCAUGCUUGAAGACCAAGUCUUUAAACAGAGCCAUUGCUUCCUGUAUUUUACACCAUAGAAGGGGCAAAUUGAUUUAAGGAUGAAUAAAGCAAGCCGUAUAUUUAAGAACCAACUCAUGCUGGGGCCUGAAAUUAAUUAUUAUAAUCAACAGGGUAACUUAAUCUCACAAAAACACGAGUUUAUUAAUAGGUGAAGGAGCUGAAAAAUUGCACAGUCCAUCCAGCCCACUGAUAUUUUUCCUAAUCUGUUACGAGAUUCAAUGCUGCAGUUUUACAAGGUACACAUUCUCAAUUAGUGAAUGUUACAGAACAUAAACAUGAAGUGAAUAUUUGCAUUAAUGGGAUUCAAACAAGUCAACUGAAAUAUCAACUGUUAUAACAUGGUGAAAAGAAUUAAAUUGGGAAUGUGGUCACACACUGUUGUACAGCAGGUAUGUACACUGUUUCAUAUCGCGUGACAUUCACAGCAUGGUCAUAGAAAAGUCAAACUAAAUGACUUAGAAAAUAUUAAUGCUGAAAUUCUCAUUACUUUUGUUUAAAGUUGAUAUUGACUGAGUUAAUAUUUUCACUGUGUAAAAACAUCGUAUAUGGUAGAAACCCUUCAGCAUCUCCCACAUUCAAAUAAAGGUAUUGAAUCACAGUUACAAUUUGGUCUUUGGUGUCAAACAUCUUAAAUGGCAGAUUCCUUCUCGCCUUCAGAAGGAGAAAAAACGAGUAAUGAAUAUUCUUAGUCUGGUUCAACCAAGACAUUCGUCUCCGAGACCUUGCUUCUGAGAUCAGACUAACAUCUCCCUCAUUGAAGGUGUGGCUGGGAUCACUACAACAUCUGAACACGGUUAAAAAGGUGGAAAGUCCAUAGCCAUUCUACACACUUUCAUUUAUUGUCUGGACAAUUAAAGUA